GAGCCUAUGGCCUAUCAGCUAGUUGGCGGGGUAAUAGCCCACCAAGGCGAUGACGGGUAGGGGAUGUGAGAGCAUGAUCCCCCUCACUGGAACUGAGACACUGUCCAGACACCUACGGGUGGCUGCAGUCGAGAAUAUUCCCCAAUGGACGAAAGUCUGAGGGAGCGACGCCGCGUGCAGGAUGAAGGGCUUUGGCUCGUAAACUGCUUUUUUCAGGGAAGAAUCAUGACGGUACCUGAAGAAUAAGAGGUUGCUAACUCUGUGCCAGCAGCAGCGGUAAUACAGAGACCUCAAGCGUUAUCCGGAUUUAUUGGGCGUAAAGGGUCCGCAGGUGGUUAUGUGCGUCGAUUGUUAAAUCUCCGGGCUCAACUCGGAAACCGCAGUCGAUACGGCAUAACUAGAGGCCGGAAGAGGUAAGCGGAAUUGCCGGUGUAGUAGUAAUAUGCGUUCAUAUCGGCAAGAACACCAAAUGCGAAGGCAGCUUACUGGAACGCGCCUGACACUCAGGGACGAAAGCGUGGGGAGCGAAAGGGAUUAGAUACCCCUGUAGUCCACGCCCUAAACGAUGAAUGCUAGAUAUUGGGAGUAUCGACCCUCCCAGUGUCGGUUAAAAAAGUAAA
rnacentral:rRNA from 1 species